UUUGAGGCGGCGUGGCUGCUCGACGCAGAACGAAGGCGGCGGCCGGAGCUUGCAGGGGAUGGAUUCGUGUGCGAAAGGGGCUGGGGAGGCGGAUCUGGAGGCGUUCGGCGAGGCGGGGUUCGCCUGUGACGAGGAGGAUGGCCGGAGCGCGGCUUCCCGGGAGGAUCCAUAGCACCCGCAGCUCCAGGACAGAAAGGAGACACGGUGGUGAGGGAGAGAAGAAGGGAGAAAGGAGGGGCGGUGCGGUGACCUAGGCCGGAGCUCACCGGUGUCCGGCAACGGCGGACGGGCGCCACUGCUACUGCAUCCCUGGUAUUCCUCCUCUCACCUCUCCCGCCUUAACGACAUCUGCUGCGUCGCCAAAGCCUCGGCCGCACAUCACCAGCAUCUCCGGCCUCGAAUACUCCUGCCACUGCACCCAGAGGCCCGUCGCCAUGACGGAUCCAGUAAGGGAUGGAGUGAAGAAAUUGGAUUGGGGUCAUGGAAUAAAUCAACUAGAGGAUGCAACUCAUGUUCUUGUAGGUAGUCAUUCAGACAUUUCUUAACUCUGCUGCAAAAUCAGCUGCCACAGCUCUGCGCUGCCGGUCAUGGAAACCUCUCAUGUAUCCCCUCUUGUCGCUUCUCACCAGCAACGUCUCUAUGCCGUGGCAGCGGCGCUCCCGCCCUGACGAUCGAAGCUGCUGCUCCCGAUCUAUUGUGUCUGGGCAGUCCCAGCCACUCCUCCUUAGCAAACUUGUGCUCUUCCUUCGGCUUGCCUUCCAUAGGGUCUGACACCACUUCAAUUAUAAUCUGCAGGACAUACACAAGUUGCAGACAAAUCGAUUGAAAUAAUGUGCUAAGCCUUGGGCUCCAUUGCCACUUUGUCAGCUUGUUGAUAUUAGAGGGAGGAUCAAAGGGGUGAUUGGUACUUUCCCUUACAGCAGCUGGUGAAACGCAACGAAUUUUCUCAACCAAUGAAGCUUUCUCUGUGGUGUCCAGGUUAUGAACUCCUACAAUUUCAGGUGUACUGCAAUCCAGGAAUGCAGCAGGCCAGAACAAUGGACAUGGAUCGUACUAUGAGUGGCUAGGUAUUGGCCUACCGUGGCAAGAUGCCAGUGACUCUAUGAGGUGUGUAAAAUAUGGAUCUGUAAAUGUCCCAGGUUUCCUUGGGGGCCAAAUGCCGCAAACAGGUCAAGGAUCUUCUUAUAUGACAGAAGCUAAGGUCCAUUGUCACUCAACACAGUCUCCCUGAAAUACAAAUUCCAGCUUUAAAGUGUGACAAUGACGCAAAUUCCUUGCUGCAAUCAUAGGAGAUCCAGUCAGGCUACAAAAUUUUCCUGUGCUACCCUAUGUACGACGCCAGCGGUGAGAUGGGCGGGAACUCUUUGGCGUGCCAGCACGAACGACACAGGCCGUACACCCUGAAGGACACGUUCGUCAGGCUUGACUUGACCCUCUCUGAUGCCACCUUGCCGCCUCUGUUGCUGGAGAUCAGCCGAAGAGUUAGCUUGUUGCCGCUUUGCUUCAAUGGUUGCUUCAAUGCUCUUCGACUCUCCAUAAUGAGCAGUUGGUGGUGCUUGGACGAAACAAUUGAUCGAAAAAUGGGUAGUGUUGUACUGGUGGUCUUGUGUCCGCCCACUAACUGUAAAACACCGAAGAUGAUUCUUCAGGACUUGAUACAUUCCAAUUACUCAUUUGGGUCUUCUUCUUACUCUUAUA